AGUGAACGCUGGCGGUAGGCCUAACACAUGCAAGUCGAACGGCAGCACAGUAAGAGCUUGCUCUUACGGGUGGCGAGUGGCGGACGGGUGAGGAAUACAUCGGAAUCUACUUUUUCGUGGGGGAUAACGUAGGGAAACUUACGCUAAUACCGCAUACGACCUACGGGUGAAAGCAGGGGAUCUUCGGACCUUGCGCGAUUGAAUGAGCCGAUGUCGGAUUAGCUAGUUGGCGGGGUAAAGGCCCACCAAGGCGACGAUCCGUAGCUGGUCUGAGAGGAUGAUCAGCCACACUGGAACUGAGACACGGUCCAGACUCCUACGGGAGGCAGCAGUGGGGAAUAUUGGACAAGGGGCGCAAGCCUGAUCCAGCCAUACCGCGUGGGUGAAGAAGGCCUUCGGGUUGUAAGCCCUUUUGUUGGGAAAGAAAAGCAGCAGGUUAAUACCCCGCUGUUCUGACGGUACCCAAAGAAUAAGCACCGGCUAACUUCGUG
rnacentral:rRNA from 1 species